AAUAGAUACCCAGGUAGUCCACGCCCUAAACGAUGUCGACUAGGUGUUGGGGAGGGAGACUUCCUUAGUACCGCAGCUAACGCGUGAAGUCGACCGCCUGGGGAGUACGGUCGCAAGAUUAAAACUCAAAGGAAUUGACGGGGACCCGCACAAGCGGUGGAUGAUGUGGAUUAAUUCGAUGCAACGCGAAAAACCUUACCUACCCUUGACAUGGUCGGAAGCCCGAUGAGAGUUGGGUGUGCCCGAAAGGGAGCCGACACACAGGUGCUGCAUGGCUGUCGUCAGCUCGUGUCGUGAGAUGUUGGGUUAAGUCCCGCAACGAGCGCAACCCUUGCCAUUAGUUGCCACAUUCAGUUGGGCACUCUAAUGGGACUGCCGGUGACAAACCGGAGGAAGGUGGGGAUGACGUCAAGUCCUCAUGGCCCUUAUGGGUAGGGCCUCACACGUCAUACAAUGGCGCAUACAGAGGGUUGCCAACCCGGCGGAGGGGGAGCCAACUCCCAUAAACUCCAUCCUCAGUUCGGUAUUGUCGUCUGCAACUC
rnacentral:rRNA from 1 species